CAGAAAUGCGAAGGGUCAGUGAAGGAAGGGAAGGCUAAGGAGAAAAGCAGAACGGCUGAAGGAAAGAUGUGUUUCUUGCUUGAAUAACUCCCUAACAAUCUGCUGAAGGAGUGAUUUUGUAUCAGGCUGAAACCCCAAACCAGCAUCAUUUUAAUUUGCCAAGCACCUGUGAAAGAAUGCAGCUGCAAGACCAUGGGAAAACAAUGGGAACUGUGACAGUUCAUUAAUAUAAACCAGCAACGAGAUUUAUUUGGUAAAGUCAUUGAUACAGAAUUACACUGGAGGACACAGUGGCAUUCCUGAAGUAUGCCAGCCAGCAGCUAACCGAGAUUCUAGAUUUGUGUACAUCAUUUGAACUUCAAUGGUUAUUUGUUUGCUUUGGUCGCUGUUUCCGGUGAAGCAAGAGUUUGGAGAGUGCAAGCGGUGUCAGAACCGUGCUGUGCACAGCUGGGAACGAAGGCACCUCUCCAUGCAAAGCCAGCUCUCGGAUCCAAACCGAUGCAAAGGGAAAAGCUCCGUGCAGGGGGAACAUCGGGGCUGUCCUCGGGCAGGCGCAGCAGCAGCAUCAAGCACGGACCCGGACCUCUGGGUGCAGAAUGCGAUGUGCCUCAUUCAGCAGAGCAUUGCCCUACUUUUGUCCCGGAGUAAUUCUGCUGCGUGCCGCCGCAUUACAUCGCUGCAAAGCUCCAGCGGCGUGGAGGAGCAGAGCGGUGUUUCAGCAUGGAGAGAUAAACUCAGGUUCUGCCCACAGGCAUCCCAACAAUAUGGCACGAGAGGCAGCAGCCAUCCUUCCAUCCAUCCAUCCAUCCAUCCAUCCAUCCAUCCAUCCAUCCAUCCAUCCAUCCAUCCAUCCACCCACCCACCCGAGGGUGCUCCCACCGAGGGAGGCAGGCAUGAGGAACACCUCACUGCUGGAGAAUUUGGGUGGUGGGGCCACGUGCGCGCUCCCACACUGAGUCACCACGCGAGAGCAGUUGCUUCCACUGUGAGCAGCGGCCGAGUGGGAGGGCUGGGGAUUAUGAUUCUGGAUUUAGGCAUCUGUCCCAUUUAA
rnacentral:lncRNA from 1 species